rnacentral:siRNA from 1 species
UAAUUGGCGCUUCCGUAACCAA